UUCUGCAUACAUUUUUGUUUGAACAUCUGCUUUCAGUUCUUUUUGGUAUAUACCUAGGAGUGGAAUUGCUGGGUCAAGCGGUAAUUCUGUGCUUAACUUGAUGAACCACCGAACUGUUUUCCAUGGUGGCUGCACCUGCAUCAUUUUGCAUUCCCACCAGUGGUGAUGAAGCUUCCAAUUUCUCCCAGAUCAUGAUUUAACACUCAUUUUUAUUAAAUGCAACAACCCUUCCUGCAUCUGGCCUGAGUGUCCUGGGCCAGCCAACUGCUUGCUCUCCAUCUUUCCUGUUUGGUCAGAGGCCCUGGGUGCAGCCAGUGGGUUACGCACUCUGAUCCCCUCAGUGACUUCUCCUGGGAGGUCACCAAGGAUACUCAUUCAGUCAGGUCUUCCAGAGCCACAGUGUUGAUCCUGCAGUGAGGACAUGAGUGUGCAGUGACUGGACUCUCUCAGGCAGUCGUGGAAGCAGAGGAUUGCUCUGGCCAGCCUGGAGACAGUUCCCAUUGGUUCCUGGACUUGAUCUGAAUCAACUCCUUCUUCCUCACCAUCUCUUGCCUGGUGCUGCUGGCUGAGACGUUGCACCUGUGGGGGCUGUCCACUCCCAGCUCACGUCUUCUGGCAGCUCCUUACUCUAUUCUAAUGCGCCUAGUGGUACUGCCGAUUUUCUCUUUUCCCAGACACCUCUCUCCACACUCCUUCUCCCACAUUGGCCUGGCCCUCAUGGCUCUUUGAUCCUCAUGGAACAUUCUAUUGUCUCCUAGGUGAGAAGAAAAGGCAUCCCAGCUUAUAUUCAGACACAUGGCCUUGAACUCGUAAUAACUCACACAUGUAAGCCACAAUAACUUCAUUUGCAUGCAACCACCUUGAAUGAAUGGUCUCAGUAAAUGUGUCAUUUAUUCUCAAUAUUCUGGAGUGCUGGAAAAAAUGGGGAGUCAAAGGAUCCCUCAGUCUGCUGGUGUGACCUGGGGCACCCAUCCCUGUUCCCUCUCCUCUUACAUGGGAUAAAACCCCAGUGGAGCCGUGUCUCUGGAUCACUGUGAUGGAUUAGGUGUUCUGCUGAGAGCUGGGCUGUCUGCUUAGAAAUCAGCCUCCAGGCCUGACUUUUGGCCUCUGCCCCGCCUGUGGAGUCGGUGCGGGCUCCAGAUUCCAGAGGCGAAGGAUACAUCCUAGUGCCAGCUCAGAUCUGAAACAGGCGUGCCCUUCGUUUUCAGACAACUUCUGUAGCAGAUGAUAUGGUGUGCUCUCAGAUGCUGCUUCAGAGUGAAGGCACUCAUUCCCCGGCUGUCAGGAAGCUGACUGGUGAUGGGUCACAGGCAGAGCUUUCGGGAGUUUUCGUGUUUCAGUCCAGCCACCGAGUGGGCCAACAUUUGAUGAUCACAUGAAAACCUCGCUCCAAUAACAUUCAAAAUCUUCACCAUGAACAGGUGCUGGGUAGAUCAUGUUUAUAAGAAUUGUGUGCAUUUCUGAGUGUUUAGAAUUGUAUGUGUUUAGGCUGAGCGCAUUGGCUCAUGCCUGUAAUCUUAGCACUUUGGGAGGCCAAAGCAGGCGGAU
rnacentral:lncRNA from 1 species